GGGUGAGAGCGGACCCGGGAGCAGAUCCCGGAGAGGGGGCGUGACCAUGCCCAUCCUCAGCAGCAUCCAGAGGAGUUCAGCCACGUCUACGGAAUCCACGCCACCCACCUCACCCUUGGCUAACCUCCCGUACGUGUGAGGUCGACCUCCAAAAGGGGAUCUCUGAAGUACCAGUGUCUUCGAGGCCUUUCAAAGAAAACGGGGUUGUGAUGCGUUUACUUCUCCUGUUUCGUUUCGCUAUUUUUCAUUUAUUUUCGUCUUUCUUACUCUUAUUCCUGGCUUUUCUUUUCGUUACGUCGUGUUCGUUACGAUCGUCGUUUUUUUUUAUCGUCCUGGUGAUUUCUCCAGAUAAGUUAGGAAGAGGGGGGAAAAAAGAAGAUAUCGAAAUAAAGAUAAAGGAUUAAAUGACGAAAACUGUUACGAAAGAAACAUGAUAGAUUAAAAAAAAAAAGAGGAAAUUCUGUAUCCCAUGGUACAUAAACUCUUUUAGAUUAUUUAGAACGAUAUUUGAUAAGCUGAAAACAGUCUUACUCGUAUCAUAACUCAAGCAAGAUAUGACUUACCUGAGGAAGACGAAUGGAAGUGACUGUGUGAGUGAAAAAAGACAGACAUCUUCAGCAUUACAUUGAAGAUCGGACACUUUAGAAGAGUUUGAUAAAGCAUAUUUGAUUAUCAAAGUCAUUCUUUUGGUUUUCUGAACUUGAGGUAUUUUUUUGCUGAAAUAUCGAAAAAAACGAUGUAAAAUAGCCAAGAGAAAAUAAACAAAUCUAUCGAGAUUUCUUAGACAAAAAAAAAUCGAUAAUUUUAACCAAAAGAUCGGAUAAAGAACUCCAAAACAAUGACACGUGUAUUUUUUUCAUCUAAGAAUAUGAAAGAAUAAAUACCUUUUAAGUGGGAUAUGAAAAGAACAGUGUGUUGAGUGGUGGGUAUGUGUUUGACAGCUUAUCAAAUGAGAUCCUCGGCUAAGUGUGCAAAAAAAAAUAAAUAAAAGAAACUUUAGAAAAAAUAGCUUAGUUUGGUGAGAGAUCUGGUUUUGAAUUACCAUAAGAAAAGAGAUACAAACAAACAAACAAACAGAAAUCGAUGUCGUUGGGAACUACAAUUUGUACAUAAACACUUACACAUAGGAAAAAAGUGAUAUAAGUGUACACCUUCAUUAAAAAAAAUGCAUAGAGGUUGUCAAAGAGAUGAAUUUCAACCAGUGGUUUCC